rnacentral:RNase_P_RNA from 1 species
CGAGCAGGCCAGGCGGCCGCGGCGCCGCUUCGGCGGCGUCGAGGAACGUCCGGGCUCCACAGGGCAGGGUGGUUGUUAACGGCAACCCGGGGUGACCCGCGGGAAAGUGCCACAGAGAACAGACCGCCGCGGCUCGCGAGAGCGCGCGGUAAGGGUGAAACGGUGGUGUAAGAGACCACCAGCGUCCCGGGUGACCGGGACGGCUCGGUAAACCCCACCCGGAGCAAGGUCAAGAGGGACCUUCGGGUCCUGCGCGGAUGUUCGAGGGCGGCCCGCCCGAGUCCGCGGGUAGACCGCACGAGCCCAUCGGCGACGGUGGGCCCAGAUGGAUGGCCGUCACCCGGGGCAACGCGGUGACGCGCUCCGGGGACAGAACCCGGCGUAUCGGCCUGCUCGUCCA